CGUUUGUGUGGACACAAACAUUAUUAUCAAAGGGUAUAUCAUCUCUCUCAGCUAAGUAAUACAAAGCCCCAUCGAUGCACACCCCAUCACAUAAUCAAAGGGUAUAUCAUCUUUCUCAGCUAAGUCGUCCUAAGGAAAUUUUUAUCUUUCUCCACCUCAUAUCUCCAGCUCCAAAAGUAACAAUUCUAUAAAGACCAGGCUCAGAUGGAGAAGCAAUGUAUAAUACCUUGUAUUGCUUGUUAAUCGGGUCAAAUCCAAAAAAGCUAUACCCCUCUCUGUAAGCAUACCGUCCUGGUAAGAUCGCACAGAUACCCCAAAGUUGGUAACCCAAGGUGGAGGAAAAGAAUUUACAAAAGAGGAUGCAGAAACUAAAGAUCUAGACGACCGGGUAAGAUAAUCCGCCUUCAAAUUCUCUUAACGUGAAAUCUUGAACAUGGAGAAUUUUGGGACAAAGAGGAUGUUUGUUGUAUUUUCAUCAUUAUUUUGUGAAAUAUUUAAAGGCAAUUAACUUUUAUAUUCUAAUUGUGAGCAAAUAAAAUUUAUUAAUUUAUCAACUACAUAAAUUUUGUUUUACCAACCUGCCGAUAUGUAACAUUAAAAUACACAUUUUUACUUCAUAGAUUGAGUAAUAAAUCUUUGUUUUUUAAAAUUCAAAUCACACCAUAUACAGAAAAAAGUCUACAUAUUUAUUUAUCAUAUGUAUAUAUGAUAAUUCAAAACAAUUUGUAAAUGAAAUUAAUGGAAGAUGAUAGGAGAAUCAUAAUUUAAAAUCUUGACAAAAUCUUCCAAAGAGAGUUAUUAAAAGAAUAAUUUGGAUACUUAGAUAUAAAAUCUUACUUUUUAAAAUUAUACGAAUCAUUAACCCCGCGUCCAACGCCGAUCAUUCCUCUAGACCACUCCCAAAUGAGUUUCAAGGAAGAGGUAAGCUGUCUAAUAUUGUUCAUUGUGAUGGGUUAUUGCUAUGCAUCUUUCGUGGUCCCAAAAGACUCGCUGUUUGGAACCCUUGCUUUAACCGAGUUAGAUGGGUCACCAAACAGAGUGCAUCUUAUGCAUUUAAUGAUUAUUACGGCAUUGGAUAUGAUGGUGCAUCUCGUGAUAACUACAAAAUCUUGAGAUUUUACAAUGAAGAUAUUUUCGAAGACGACCGGUCCUGCACAAAAUAUCAUGGCCCACCAUUUAUCCAAAGUUUCGAUUUUUCCACGGAGAGAUUCAAACAUAUGAGCCUAAUUCCUUUCGUCGAAGGUCCAUAUGAUAAUGUAGCCUUAUCAGCUUAUAGAGGAGAUAAGCUUUCUUUGCUUCGCCAACACAUAUACGAAGAACAUGAUCUAGGGGAGAUUGAGGUAUGGGUCACAAACAGUGUCAAAGAUAGGGUUGUUUCUUGGACCAAACUUUUUGUUGUGUGGAGACCUGAUCUGCCAUCAUUUGAUCUCGGGGAAGAUCCUCCUCAUUCGGUGUUUUUUAUUGACCAAAAUAAUAGGAUUAACGUUACAUGUUCUGAAA